CAGAUUUACGAUUCUCGAUCAAAUUUCUACUCUCUAAAAUACUAUUUUCCAAUCUAGAAAACAGAGACCAGUAGAAAUCCAGAGAUUCUUGUUCAGUCACCAACUGCCACAGGAUUUGAGCAAAACUCGUCUGAAUCCGACUGAUCACUAAGGAAGCAAUAAUACAGAGACGAUGGGGCAUGGCCAAAGUGAAGGGAUACUCUGGGAACAUCGUUUGGGGUGCUCCUUGGUGCUGUUAUACAAGUGAAGGACAAGACUAGGAUGUUUAAGCGCAUCCUUGGGAAUCUUAAAUCCACGAUAGAUUCUCUAAAACCACUUGUAGAAGAGAUAGCAGAAUAUAACAAGGUAUUGCAUCUCUCAAAGGAGGAAUUAGAGAAUUUUACAUUACAAAUGGAGGAGGGUGCAGAGCUCGUUCACAAGUGCUCUAAGAUUUGUAAGUGGGCUAGCUGCAAGAAGUAUGAAUAUACCAAUCAACUUCUUAGAUUAGAUGAAUCUCUUCAAUUACUCUUAAGUAUAUUAAGAGUGCAAUUUGCAAGGGAUGUGAGAGAGAGCUUAACUUCCUUAAGUAAUACAGAGGCUUUGAUCAAGCUAAUUGAAGGGAAAAUAGAGGAAGGAGUCAAGUUAGUUGAAGGGAGCGGUGUUGGUUCAUGUGAAGUGGUUGCAUUUGAUGUUCUAAAUGGUGCGGGGAACAAGGAAUGCAAAGGAAACAUUGGAUUCAACAACGAAUAUGGAGGCAGCCGGCAAGCAAAUCAAAGCAAGUGUUUUGGUACAAAAUCAAAUUGAUGUUGCAGUAACUGAACCUGCAUUCAGUCCUGAUUGUAUGGUUCAUGAAGUAACUUAGCAAUGAACUCUGCUAUAUCCUAAAAAUAGAAACUUUUAGUUUGCCAAGCAUUUGUUCCUCGUCUGAGUCGUCUCUAGUGGACAAAUUGCACAUAAAGGGUACAUUUUUAACCUCGAGUUCUUGAUAUAUAGUGGAACUUUGACACUUAGCAAGUGAAGAAGAAGGAUCUGCUUUAUAUAUUUUGAGUUCAUACAUAGUGUUCAUGGUCAUUUCCUUUCACCCAGGAACGCCUAUCUAGCUAGCAACGGAUUUCUCCUAUCCAGCACAACUUCGUAAUUCUUCAUCAGCAAAUUCUUGUUCUUAUUUCCCUU